rnacentral:snoRNA from 1 species
GCAUAUGAUGAAAUGGAAAUAAUGUUUAUCAAACCAUUUCAUUUUCCUCCUGC